GUCCCUGUAGCUCAGCGGACAGAGCAACUGCCUUCUAAGCAGUGGGUCGCUGGUUCGAAUCCAGCCAGGGACGCCA
rnacentral:tRNA from 1 species